GACGAACGCUGGCGGCGUGCCUAAUACAUGCAAGUCGAGCGCACAGGUGUGGUGCUUGUUCCAACGGGAUGAGCAGCGGACGGGUGAGUAACGCGUGGGGAAUCUGCCUUUGAGCGGGGGACAACAUCUGGAAACGGGUGCUAAUACCGCAUAAAAUCUUUAAACACAAGGUUUAAUAGUGAAAGAUGCAAUUGCUUCACUCAAUGGUGAUCCCGCGUUGUAUUAGUUAGUUGGUAAGGUAAAGGCUCACCAAGGCAACGAUACGUAGCCAAACGGAGAGGGUGAUCGGCCACACGGGAACUGGAACACGCUCCAGACUCCUACGGGAGGCAGCAGUGGGGAUUCUUGCGCAAUGAGCGAAGUCCGGACGAGGCAACGCCGCGGGAGUAAGGAGGGUCUUCGAUUGGUAAAACUCGUUUAUUGGGGAGGAACAAGUGUGGAGUGGACAACGCACGUCGUGACGGUACCUAACCAGAAAGCCACGGCUAACUACGUG
rnacentral:rRNA from 1 species